AUAGGGGGUGAGAAGGGAAGAACUGUGGAGAAAAUUACUGCAGCCCUGGAAGCUGAGGAGAAGGAGGCUGGAGAUAAGGCUGUGAGUCACACUUUGCAGGUAGCAGCUGAAGCUGUGGGUGAGAUUGCCCAGGGGACUGUGGGGAAGGAGACGGAGUAGAGAGGCUAUGUGAAGACCUGAGGAACCGCAGCUGUUUUCCGUUCUGAGUCAAAUCCUACUCAAGUUUUGUGUCCCACGAUCCCGGCCCCAGUCCACAGCCCACAGCAAUUGCUCCAUUCUUUACGCCCUCCUCUAAGGAAUCUGAGCUUCUCGUCUUGUUCCACCCAAAGUGUGACCACACUGAGGUGUUUUGGAGCCAACAACAAAGGUCUAAGGAGAUCUCAGGAAGCAUAGGGACAGCCCCAUAGGGCAGUGCCAUCACCGUUGGAGGCACCUCAUUUUUACCUUGGAUCUGGGAACACGCUCCGGGUGGUGAAGCCUUAGGGCUGAGGUGAGAGUGGACUUCAGAUGGGAGGGGUUAUAGGAGCGGGCAGCAGAGAGGCAGAGGAAGGGCGUGUUGGCCUUUGUAGGCAGCUGGGGCUUGCUGGAGGGGCUGCAGGUGGGGACCAUGUUUUCAGCCUCCUACUAGGGUCAGUGGACGUUGUCUGUCACCUUCUGCAGUAGCCUCCUCUGGCUGUCAGCUGGUGUGAGUCAGGAACAGUGGGAAUGUGGAAGGCAGAGGAAACACACCAGGGAAGCUGUUCUUGAAGCCACUUGGAAUUCCUUAUCUCUCCAUCCUUUGGGUAGAGCAACUGGAAAGCUGCUUUCUCUUCGCCGUGGGAAGGAAUGGCUUGAUGGUUAGCAUGGAGGGCCUGGUAGGCGCUGGUUGCUGAAGUAGAAACCAUGGAAACCAACAUGAUGGUCCACAAGUAGUUGCUACGUUGGCAGGAGAUGCGGGGAAGGCUAAGAGGGUGCUCCACAGCCUGGCUUAGUGUGAACCAAGUCCCAAGAAGUCCAAGGGCAAAUCCAGUAAGAGCGGUGCCAUGGGCUCAUGUCAGGUGGGCAGGUAGAGAAGGCAGCUGUGACUACAAGGAGCCUCUUACAGUUUCACAGGUCAGUCCAUUAUCAUCAUCUGGCAGAUAGGCAGGUGGGUGCUGGGAGCAGCUAAGGGUCCUACAUCUUGCAGGCAACAGAAAGUCCUGUCACACUGAGUGAAGCUUGAGAAAAGGACCUCAGAGCUCACUCCCACAUUGACACACUUCCUCCACGAGGGCCACACCUCCUAAAUAGUGCCUUUUCCUUGGGGGGGGGCAUUUUCUUUCAAACUACAUAUUUCAUUCCCUGGCCCCCAAAGGGUUAUAGCCAUAUCAC